UACGAAGGUGGCAAGCGUUGUUCGGAUUUACUGGGCGUACAGGGAGCGUAGGCGGUUGGAUAAGCCCUCCGUGAAAUCUCCAGGCUUAACCUGGAAAGUGCAGAGGGGACUGUUCAGCUAGAGGAUGGGAGAGGAGCGCGGAAUUCCCGGUGUAGCGGUGAAAUGCGUAGAGAUGUGGAGGAAUACCGAUGGCGAAGGCAGCCCCCUGGGAUAACACUGACGCUCAUGCACGAAAGCGUGGGGAGCAAACAGG
rnacentral:rRNA from 1 species